AGCCUUGAGGUGUUUUGACAUUUCAGAUUGCAAAUCUGAAGAAGCAGGCUAACGUCUGCCGGGGCUU
rnacentral:tRNA from 1 species